GGAGAUCAUGUGCACACAAAUUUUCGAGAUAUGUUCAAUUAUAUAACAAAGUAAGGAUAUUUCAUCGAAGUACUUAGGUUGCCUUUGACUUGUUUUAAUGCAUCACAGUAUGGAACUCUGAUGAUAGUCGACACCGAGGAAGAGUAUUUUCGCGAGGAAAUCACGAAACUACGCGAAGACGUCGAAAAGCAUGGAUUGUCCUUGAUCGUCGUUGCCGAUUGGUACAAUGUAGAAGUUAUAAAAAAAGUGAAAUUCUACGACGAAAACACUCGACAGUGGU